rnacentral:misc_RNA from 1 species
GAUGAAGAACGCAGCGAAAUGCGAUACGUAAUGUGAAUUGCAGAAUUCAGUGAAUCAUCGAAUCUUUGAACGCACAUUGCGCCCGCCAGUAUUCUGGCGGGCAUGCCUGUUCGAGCGUCAUUUCAACCCUCAGGCCCCCAGUGCCUGGCGUUGGGGAUCGGCGCGGCGCCCUCCGGGGCGCUGCCGGCCCCGAAAUUCAGUGGCGGUCUCGCUGUAGCCCUCCUCCGCGUAGUAGCACAACCUCGCGGCCUGGAGCUCGGCGGUGGCCAUGCCGUAAAACACCCCACUUCUGAAAGUUGACCUCGGAUCAGGUAGGAAUACCCGCUGAACUUAAGCAUAUCAAUAAGCGGAGGA